rnacentral:misc_RNA from 1 species
GAAAUGCGAUAAGUAGUGUGAAUUGCAGAAUUCAGUGAAUCAUCGAAUAUUUGAACGCACAUUGCGCCCUUUGGUAUUCCUUAGGGCAUGCCUGUUCGAGCGUCAUCUAAACCUUCAAGCCCUGCUUGGUGUUGGGUGCCUGUCCCGCCUCCGCGCGCGGACUCACCUCAAAUCCAUUGGCGGCCCCCGCGUCGGCCACGAGCGCAGCAGAAACGCGAACUCGUGAGCCCGUCCGGGCGGCUCCCAGAAGCUACACCCACCCAGUUUGACCUCGGAUCAGGUAGGGAUACCCGCUGAACUUAAGC